UUAUCAGCCGUUGAGCGAAACUUUGCACCCCAGACCCAGACAGAAGCGUUCCUAAGGCGAUUACACGUAUACUUUAGCCAAUUCAGACCAGGCCGGACGAUGACCCAACAAAUCUAUGAACCCAAAGGCAGGUUUAGAUUCUUCUUAAAAUAGUGUGGAGGUUAUGCAAUACAGCUCAGAAAGAGACAGGCAGACAGAGAGCCGGAAAGGAAAACAAAGAGAGAGUGCGAGCAAGAGUGAGAGAAACAAAAUGGAGCCUUCUUUUUAGGCGGCUUUGCUGAGGGAGGUCAAGGCGGACGCACAUGCAAUUUUUGGGCAUUGAUUUUUUGACAGUUUUUGGUGGUACGAGGCUACGGAUCCGGCUACGGUUACGGCUAAGUGGGCUAUUCUGUGAGAAGGAACUUACCCCGUAAUCUGGACUACUCGUAGAUGAAACACAUUUGUUGGGGUUUAUUUAUAUUUAGGUGUUAAAUAUACAUAUAUCCACAAAACUUAAAUUAGCACUGAAAGAAAAUCAAUGAAAAGUUUACGUUUCGGCAUUCACAGUUGUGUUGUUUUUAGCCGGGUUGAGCGAGCCCGAGAACGGCCGAGAGUGUGAAGAGAGAAAGUCUUAGAACCAAAUG